rnacentral:lncRNA from 1 species
ACAGGGAAUAUGUUUGUCAAGAAUAAGAAGCCACCUACUGAACGUUGAAGAUCCUCAGUAUUGACCGCUCUGUCCUUUUCCUAAACAGGGGGCACCAGGAGAACCAGGUCCUCAAGGCAUCGUUGGUGGCCGGGGUAACACGGGUUUGCCAGGUCUGCGUGGCCCCAGCGGCCCCCCUGGUAUGGCGGGUGCCAAGGGUGAAGAUGGUAAACCAGGCACCAAUGGCAUCCCAGGAGAACGUGGUGCUCCUGGUCCGCAAGGUCCUAUUGGCCAAAGAGGCUUACCUGGAGAGCCUGGCAGAGAUGUGAGUGGAUGUGUUAGACCUUCCUGCUAGCUUGUGAGUUACAAACAGGAGACACGGGGACUAAAGAAGCUUUAAGGGUCACAAAGCCUCCCUCGAGUGCCCGAUGC